rnacentral:rRNA from 1 species
CUGCAGAUCUUUGAGUACAACAGGAGCACCGUGGUGCUGAUGGUGGGGAAGAACUGCUUUGCGAUCGCCAUGGACCGAUUCCUGGGCAUGCAGCUGCAGACCAUCACCAGUGACUUCCAGAGGGUGUCCAAGAUCCACGGCAAGCUGUACAUCAGCCUCUUCGGCCUUGCAACGGAUGCCCAGGCGCAGUACCAGCGGCUAAUGUUCAAGCAUAAACUGUACCAGCUUCUAGAGGAGAGGGAUAGGAAGCCUGAGACCUUGGCCAGCCUUGUCUCCGCCCUCCUCCACGAGAAAAGGUUUGGACCAUACUUCUGCCAACAAAUUAUUGUUGGGCUAGGUGAAAAUGAUUAGCCAUUUAUAUGUACCAUGGACUGCAUUGGUGCCAAGUAUGUAUCAUUUAUCUUCAUAACAAAUUCUAAGCCAACCCAAGAAUAAAACAAAGCAUCAUCGCAUGCCAUUGAGGAUGACCAGGAGUACUAG